ACAACUUUUAACAACGGAUCUCUUGGCUCUCGCAUCGAUGAAGAACGCAGCGAAAUGCGAUAAGUAAUGUGAAUUGCAGAAUUCAGUGAAUCAUCGAAUCUUUGAACGCACCUUGCGCUCUCUGGUAUUCCGGGGAGCACAUCUGUUCGAGUGU
rnacentral:rRNA from 1 species